rnacentral:rRNA from 1 species
GACGAACGCUGGCGGCGUGCCUAAUACAUGCAAGUAGAACGCACAGGAUGCACCGUAGUUUACUACACCGUAUUCUGUGAGUUGCGAACGGGUGAGUAACGCGUAGGUAACCUGCCUGGUAGCGGGGGAUAACUAUUGGAAACGAUAGCUAAUACCGUAUAAGAACAUUUACUGCAUGGUAGAUGUUUAAAAGGUGCAAGAGCAUCACUACCAGAUGGACCUGCGUUGUAUUAGCUAGUUGGUGAAGUAACGGCUCACCAAGGCAACGAUACAUAGCCGACCUGAGAGGGUGAUCGGCCACACUGGGACUGAGACACGGCCCAGACUCCUACGGGAGGCAGCAGUAGGGAAUCUUCGGCAAUGGGGGGAACCCUGACCGAGCAACGCCGCGUGAGUGAAGAAGGUUUUCGGAUCGUAAAGCUCUGUUGUUAAGGAAGAACGUGUGUGAGAGUGG